GAACUAUUUUUAAACAUGUUUUGAAAACAUGUUUUGAGGUAACUCGUAGUUUU
rnacentral:tRNA from 1 species